GCUACUAGUUAAGAUAUCUAUAGAGCAUGAGACUCUUAAUCUCAGGGUCGUGGGUUUGAGCCCCACAUUGGGCA